UACGUAGGGGGCUAGCGUUGUCCGGAAUCAUUGGGCGUAAAGCGCGCGUAGGCGGCCCGGUAAGUCCGUUGUAAAAGUCAAAGGCUCAACCUUUGAAAGCCGAUGGAUACUGCCGGGCUAGAGUCCGGAAGAGGCGAGUGGAAUUCCCGGUGUAGCGGUGAAAUGCGCAGAUAUCGGGAGGAACACCAAUGGCGAAGGCAGCUCGCUGGGACGGUACUGACGCUGAGGCGCGAAAGCGUGGGGAGCAAACAGGG
rnacentral:rRNA from 1 species